GGAAUCGUACCCCAAACCGACACAGGUGGUCGGGUAGAGAAUACCAAGGCGCUUGAGAGAACUCGGGUGAAGGAACUAGGCAAAAUGGUACCGUAACUUCGGGAGAAGGUACGCUCUUGAUGGUGAAGUCCCUCGCGGAUGGAGCUGACGAGAGUCGCAGAUACCAGGUGGCUGCAACUGUUUAUUAAAAACACAGCACUGUGCAAAAUCGCAAGAUGACGUAUACGGUGUGACGCCUGCCCGGUGCCGGAAGGUUAAUUGAUGGGGUUAGCGCAAGCGAAGCUCUUGAUCGAAGCCCCGGUAAACGGCGGCCGUAACUAUAACGGUCCUAAGGUAGCGAAAUUCCUUGUCGGGUAAGUUCCGACCUGCACGAAUGGCGUAAUGAUGGCCACGCUGUCUCCACCCGAGACUCAGUGAAAUUGAAAUCGCUGUGAAGAUGCAGUGUACCCGCGGCUAGACGGAAAGACCCCGUGAACCUUUACUACAGCUUGGCACUGAACAUUGAACCUACAUGUGUAGGAUAGGUGGGAGGCUAUGAAGACGUGACGCCAGUUGCGUUGGAGCCGUCCUUGAAAUACCACCCUUGUAUGUUUGAUGUUCUAACGUUGGCCCCUCAUCGGGGUCGCGGACAGUGCCUGGUGGGUAGUUUGACUGGGGCGGUCUCCUCCCAAAGAGUAACGGAGGAGCACGAAGGUGGGCUAAUCACGGUUGGACAUCGUGAGGUUAGUGCAAUGGCAUAAGCCCGCUUAACUGCGAGAAUGACGGUUCGAGCAGGUGCGAAAGCAGGUCAUAGUGAUCCGGUGGUUCUGAAUGGAAGGGCCAUCGCUCAACGGAUAAAAGGUACUCCGGGGAUAACAGGCUGAUACCGCCCAAGAGUUCAUAUCGACGGCGGUGUUUGGCACCUCGAUGUCGGCUCAUCACAUCCUGGGGCUGAAGUCGGUCCCAAGGGUAUGGCUGUUCGCCAUUUAAAGUGGUACGCGAGCUGGGUUUAGAACGUCGUGAGACAGUUCGGUCCCUAUCUGCCGUGGGCGUUGGAAGAUUGAAGGGGGCUGCUCCUAGUACGAGAGGACCGGAGUGGACGAACCUCUGGUGUUCGGGUUGUGUCGCCAGACGCAUUGCCCGGUAGCUAAGUUCGGAAUUGAUAACCGCUGAAAGCAUCUAAGCGGGAAGCGAGCCCUGAGAUGAGUCUUCCCUGACAGUUUAACUGUCCUAAAGGGUUGUUCGAGACUAGAACGUUGAUAGGCAGGGUGUGUAAGCGCUGUGAGGCGUUGAGCUAACCUGUACUAAUUGCCCGUGAGGCUUAACCAUACAACACCCAAAGGGUUUUG
rnacentral:rRNA from 1 species